rnacentral:rRNA from 1 species
AGGACCGAACCGACUAAUGUUGAAAAAUUAGCGGAUGACUUGUGGCUGGGGGUGAAAGGCCAAUCAAACCGGGAGAUAGCUGGUUCUCCCCGAAAGCUAUUUAGGUAGCGCCUCGUGAAUUCAUCUCCGGGGGUAGAGCACUGUUUCGGCAAGGGGGUCAUCCCGACUUACCAACCCGAUGCAAACUGCGAAUACCGGAGAAUGUUAUCACGGGAGACACACGGCGGGUGCUAACGUCCGUCGUGAAGAGGGAAACAACCCAGACCGCCAGCUAAGGUCCCAAAGUCAUGGUUAAGUGGGAAACGAUGUGGGAAGGCCCAGACAGCCAGGAUGUUGGCUUAGAAGCAGCCAUCAUUUAAAGAAAGCGUAAUAGCUCACUGGUCGAGUCGGCCUGCGCGGAAGAUGUAACGGGGCUAAACCAUGCACCGAAGCUGCGGCAGCGACGCUGAUGCGUUGUUGGGUAGGGGAGCGUUCUGUAAGCCUGCGAAGGUGUGCUGUGAGGCAUGCUGGAGGUAUCAGAAGUGCGAAUGCUGACAUAAGUAACGAUAAAGCGGGUGAAAAGCCCGCUCGCCGGAAGACCAAGGGUUCCUGUCCAACGUUAAUCGGGGCAGGGUGAGUCGACCCCUAAGGCGAGGCCGAAAGGCGUAGUCGAUGGGAAACAGGUUAAUAUUCCUGUACUUGGUGUUACUGCGAAGGGGGGACGGAGAAGGCUAUGUUGGCCGGGCGACGGUUGUCCCGGUUUAAGCGUGUAGGCUGGUUUUCCAGGCAAAUCCGGAAAAUCAAGGCUGAGGCGUGAUGACGAGGCACUACGGUGCUGAAGCAACAAAUGCCCUGCUUCCAGGAAAAGCCUCUAAGCAUCAGGUAACAUCAAAUCGUACCCCAAACCGACACAGGUGGUCAGGUAGAGAAUACCAAGGCGCUUGAGAGAACUCGGGUGAAGGAACUAGGCAAAAUGGUGCCGUAACUUCGGGAGAAGGCACGCUGAUAUGUAGGUGAGGUCCCUCGCGGAUGGAGCUGAAAUCAGUCGAAGAUACCAGCUGGCUGCAACUGUUUAUUAAAAACACAGCACUGUGCAAACACGAAAGUGGACGUAUACGGUGUGACGCCUGCCCGGUGCCGGAAGGU